rnacentral:rRNA from 1 species
GUGGGGAAUCUUGCGCAAUGGGCGAAAGCCUGACGCAGCCAUGCCGCGUGAAUGAUGAAGGUCUUAGGAUUGUAAAAUUCUUUCACCGGGGACGAUAAUGACGGUACCCGGAGAAGAAGCUCCGGCUAACUUCGUGCCAGCAGCCGCGGUAAGACGGAGGGGGCAAGCGUUGUUCGGAAUUAUUGGGCGUAAAGGGCUCGUAGGCGGAUCUGUAAGUCUGGCGUGAAAUCUCCACCGCUUAACGGGGAGCUGCCGCUGGAUACUGCAGAUCUGGAGUUCGGUAGAGGAUCGUGGAAUUUCGGGUGUAGCGGUGGAAUGCGUAGAUAUCCGAAAGAACACCAGUGGCGAAGGCGACGAUCUGGGCCUGAACUGACGCUGAGGAGCGAAAGCUAGGGGAGCAAACGGGAUUAGAUACCCGUGUAGUCC